GAGUGGUAGUUCCUAGGGAAGCCCCACGUGCAUGACGGGACUUGUGGCUCCUCUCACUUCCGCGGUACCUUAAAAGCUGCGGUCGGGGGACCGGGUUGUUGGAGACUGUGGGUCGGUGAUUACUGUGGAAAAAAUGAGGGAAAUGAAUCCAGCGCAUGGCCCCUAGAAUGUCCACCGAGGAUUUCCAGUCGGACCCUACGGUGAGGUGAGAUCCAACCAAGUCUGUGGUGAACAGCUGCGAUGAGGCAUCCCCGAGAGAAAGGCGAGCCCAGCACUCAAUUCUAGAAGAUACUCCAAAGAUGCCUUUCAACAAAAAUGAUUUUUCCAGAAGCUCCUGUAAUCUCCCUAGCACCAGUUCUCACCAAUCAAAU